rnacentral:rRNA from 1 species
UCCCUCAAAGAUGAUGAGGUUAAUAGGUUCGAGGUGGAAGCAUGGUGACAUGUGGAGCUGACGAAUACUAAUCGAUCGAAGACUUAAUCAA